GAAGCUCUGGAAGAAGAGGUGGUUCGUGCUGUCAGAUAUGUGCCUCUUACUACUACAGAGAUGAGAAAGAGGAGGGUAUCCUCGGCAGCAUCCUCCUGCCUAGCUUUCAUAUAUCUAUGCUGUCUGUCGACGACCACAUCAACAGGAAAUAUGCCUUCAAGGCGACACAUCCCAACAUGCGGACGUACUACUUUUGCACAGAUGCAGCCAAAGACAUGGAGUCAUGGAUGAAGGUGAUGACAGACGCUGCCCUGGUGCACUCCGAGCCUGUCAAGAGGUUUGUAUUCAAUCAAUCAAUUAAUCAAUCAAUCAAUCAAUCAAACAGAUGCUUUGUUUCCCAUUCAGUCAAGAUGUCUGUACUGAGUAGUAUCAAAACAGAGACACUAUUUCCCAUUCAUAUGAGCUGCGAUGCUCAUAUUGUCUUAAAAGGCAAUUUAGCAACUGAAGUGGGAGGAAUAGAUUGAUUAGAUUUAAUAUGAGUGUUUGAACGGUGGGAACCUCCAUGAUAGAAAUAUGAAGGAGCUGUUCUGUUUAACGUUUACUUAUCUUCUCUUGUUUGUUGUUUGACCUCUGUUAAUGGCGCUCCUCAUGUUGUUUAGGGAAGAGUCUCAUCGACCUCAGCAUAUUCCAGUCCUCUAGAGGGCUACAGAAACA